GCAUUUUGUAGAAUGGACAGAAGCAACUGCAAUGAAAGAAUCUUUGACCGCAGUUCAUGAGAUUUUGGAUCUGGUGGUCCAUCUGAUAGGGGCUUCAUGGAGAGUUUACACAGUGACCUGAAUACAAGGAAGGCAUCCUUUUGUAAAAUGUGGGAAAACUUAGCACCAGGUGUAGGUCCUGAAGAAUUUCCAGAUUCCUGAGUAUCAUUGGAAGAGACGGAUAAUCUGUCAUCCGGUAAAGAUGGUGUAUAAGCAACAGAAAUUGGAGUCCCUGGAAUUCCAUUUGCCUGAAUGUUUUCACUGUCACUGCCAUCCUCUAAUGUUACAAUUGUUCCAUCACCACUUGCACUUUCAGCAGAUCCUUCUAUAUCUCCAACUACUAUGUUCACCAUUUCCUGCACAAUACUUUCUACUAUUUCUUGUGCCUUCUCUUCACAUUCAUUGCUUUCAUCAUCAU
rnacentral:lncRNA from 1 species